rnacentral:rRNA from 1 species
UACGUAGGGGGCUAGCGUUGUCCGGAAUCAUUGGGCGUAAAGAGCGUGUAGGCGGUCCGGUAAGUCCGCUGUGAAAGUCGGGGGGCUCAACCCUCGAAUGCCGGUGGAUACUGUCGGGCUAGAGUGCGGAAGAGGCGAGUGGAAUUCCUGGUGUAGCGGUGAAAUGCGCAGAUAUCAGGAGGAACACCAAUUGCGAAGGCAGCUCGCUGGGACGUAACUGACGCUGGAGACGGCGAAAGCGUGGGGAGCAAACAGG